rnacentral:rRNA from 1 species
CCUACGGGAGGCAGCAGUGAGGAAUAUUGGUCAAUGGCCGAGAGGCUGAACCAGCCAAGUCGCGUGAGGGAAGACGGCCCUACGGGUUGUAAACCUCUUUUGUCGGGGAGCAAAGCGAGUCACGUGUGACUCAUUGACAGUACCAGAAGAAAAAGCAUCGGCUAACUCCGUGCCAGCAGCCGCGGUAAUACGGAGGAUGCGAGCGUUAUCCGGCUUUAUUGGGUUUAAAGGGUGCGCAGUGGGAGGUUCAAAGCAGCGGUCAAAGUUCGGGGCUCAACCCCGUACUGCCGUUGAAACUGCAUCACUUGAGUGCGGGAGAAGUAUGCGGAAUGCGUGGUGUAGCGGUGAAAUGCAUAGAUAUCACGCAGAACUCCGAUUGCGAAGGCAGCAUACCGGCGCGCAACUGACGCUCAUGCACGAAAGCGUGGGUAUCGAACAGGAUUAGAUACCCCUGUAGUC